rnacentral:rRNA from 1 species
GACAGAGGGUGCAAACGUUGUUCGGAAUCACUGGGCGUAAAGCGCACGUAGGCGGAUUGCUAAGUCAGGGGUGAAAUCCUGGAGCUCAACUCCAGAACUGCCCUUGAUACUGGCGGUCUCGAGUCCGGGAGAGGUGAGUGGAACUGCGAGUGUAGAGGUGAAAUUCGUAGAUAUUCGCAAGAACACCAGUGGCGAAGGCGGCUCACUGGCCCGGUACUGACGCUGAGGUGCGAAAGCGUGGGGAGCAAACAGG